rnacentral:rRNA from 1 species
UACGAAGGGGGCUAGCGUUGUUCGGAGUUACUGGGCGUAAAGCGUGCGCAGGCGGUUCGUUGUGUCGGCGGUGAAAGCCCCGGGCUUAACCUGGGAAUGGCCGUUGAAACUGGCGAACUGGAGUGUGGCAGAGGGGGGUGGAAUUCCGCGUGUAGCAGUGAAAUGCGUAGAGAUGCGGAGGAACACCGAUGGCGAAGGCAGCCCCCUGGGCUGACACUGACGCUCAGGCACGAAAGCGUGGGGAGCAAACAGG